UACAGAGGGUGCGAGCGUUAAUCGGAAUUACUGGGCGUAAAGCGUGCGUAGACGGUCAUGUAAGUCGGAUGUGAAAGCCCCGGGCUCAACCUGGGAAUUGCAUUCGAGACUGCAUGGCUUGGGUGCGGAAGAGGGAAGCGGAAUUUCCGGUGUAGCGGUGAAAUGCGUAGAUAUCGGAAGGAACACCAGUGGCGAAAGCGGCUUCCUGGUCCGACACCGACGUUCAGGCACGAAAGCGUGGGGGAGCAAACAGG
rnacentral:rRNA from 1 species